AAAGACAUUUAGAGAAAAGAGGUCUGCUAGGGUUUCCUCUCUUUAUCAAUUUCUGCUAGAAUUUUCAAUCUCUGUCUCUCUCUCUCUUCUUCUUCCCCUACCGGAAAUCUCAAUAUCUUCCUCUUCCCCUUGCUGCCGCAACCUGCGCCCGCCGCUGCGCAAGACGCCGCCGCCGUCGCCGCGCAAGACGAAAAACUGAGAGAUUACAGUUCUUGGAGAGCAUCAACGAGACUGAUUAAAUCUCCUUCCGAAAUAGAGUUCUGAGUUUUCUCCCUAAACCUCUCUACCAGUGAUAAGUUGGAAUUUCUGAUGAGAAACAAACAAUUUGCAAACCCAGCAGCUUAGUCAGAUCAUGGCUUCUCCUCUCAAACUCACCUCAAUGUUGCAAUGCGGGUCCUUCUCAAACAUCUAAAGGUCGAUUGUCAUUUUGUUUGACAAAAAGUUCAAGCGGGUGUGAUGAAAUUACUGUCAGUUCCUUCUUCUCGACAAUUGACCGACAUCCUUAUCAAAUCUUCCUCCACUCAAUCGUUUGAUGCUAAUAAAUCUUCCUAGAGAGGUCUGCUAGGGAGCACAAAAUUGGGGCAAUUGGUAAAUUUUAAAUUGCUUUUGUUACUAUAUUACCCUAUUUGGUUGCAUGUCAUUGUUUUCAUGUGUGUUUUAUGUAGAUAUUAGAUGUGCUUCUCUUGUAGGUUUAACUCUAAUGUUAUGUUUUGUGAAGCUGUUUUAGUUUCAAUAUUUGGAGAUUGAUUUCCCCAUCAUCAGGUAGCUUUUUCUUGCCUUGUAAUGAUUCAACUCUUAACCUGCAGAGAGCUUUUUUAAAUUAUCCUCGUUUUAGCUUUUUAUUGUUAUAUUUCAAUUUCUCUUGUCCAUCCUCUCAUUUCUGGAUUCUUUUUCUUCUAAUGUUUCAUGUAUUCAGUCUUCAUUAGAGCUUGAUCAUUAUUUGUAUCCCGGAUAAAGGUGAUGAAUCAGGGCCAAUCAUACUUUAUCUGGAUUUUUAUAUGCGAUAUUUGAAGCAGCAAGCAUCUUUGGCAAAUAGAUCGUUAUCCAAGUAUAAUUUUUUUAAUACAUAUUUCUACAAGAAGCUUCAGGAUUCUGUUUCGGUUAAGAUAAUAUAUUAUCUUUAUGCACAUGCAUAGCUGUAUAUUUAAUUCAAUCUUUGGAAAGAGCUCAAGAAGGGCAAACGAAGCAUAGAAGUGCACAUCAUAUGUGCACCAUAUGAUAUAUUCAACACCUUCCAAGUACAGAAACCUUCCAACAUCAUCUCUGUCAUAUUGCUGGUCCAUCAUUGCCAGAGUAAUACUAGCAUCACUCUCUUGGGAGAGAUCACCACGAUGUUUUUCAUCCACGCCAUCUACCAUGCAAUCAACGUCACUGGCACUAUCUGUUGUAUACUCAACAUCAUAGGUGCUAUCUGUUGUACGCCCAGCAUCUGCACCUUGUCUACGACUCACUUUGGCUUCAGUCACUUUGACUUCUGUAUUUUCCAAUUCUUUUACCUGAUCCCGGUUUUUUUCCUCAUAUUUGAAGAUGGCAAAUGCGAGUCUGGAAGACAGAUCAAAGAGUCUUCAUUUAUUAGACUAAUCUGACAAUAGCAAGAUCCACCAAAAAGCUAGAUUUUAUGCAGGUUACUCGAUCACAAAACAAUAUACUUAAAUGAAUACAUACCAAUCCAAAUUGUUCCUCCAGUAACAAGAAAGUAGGGUUCAUUAAACAAUGUGAACUUGUACCUGUAAAUGAAAAUUUAGUUAUAUUAUCUAAACCAACAGAAGCUUCAAAAGUAUGAGUUGAUCAAAUGGAGAACAGUCUGAUAAAUAUGGGGAGAGGAUGAUCUAGGAAAGAUUGAGAGAAACCUUUCUUAGUUAAAAUAAAUAACAAAAAUUUAUAGACAGAAGAGCUAGUCAUGAACUAGCAAAGAAAAAAAAAAAGAAAAGUUCUGUUUUAUGUUUUUUGCACAUACUGCAGAGGCUCUAAGCUAAUAUAUACCUGGCAAUUAUCCAUAACAAACAAAUACACAAGUUGAUGUUUAAAAAUUAAAAUGUCUUCAUGCUUAAACAGAGAAUUACCAUUCUGGUAGUGACUCAUCCUGAAGAAUAGGAUUUUGCCAUUUCUCAAUGUCUUUUUCCCACCGUUUGUAUUCUGUUUGGAAUUUAAAACAUAACAAGGUUUAUAAAUAUUACUGACAGAAUCUAAAACCACGUAGAAACAUUACUUUAGAAGCAUUCAUAUCUUUUAUCCCUUUUACGGUGUGUGUAGAUCAUAACAUAUAAUACUAAUGCAGAUAAACCAUAGAAAGGAAGAAUAUCAACUUCAAUCCAAUCAGACAACAUACGAGUUAAUGCAUCAUGGGCCAAGUCCUUUGCAGCUCUCUCAGAGAGUAAAAGAAUUGAAAUUAUUCAAACAAAAGCGCACCACAAAAAAAAAAGGUCGGCAUACUACGUCUUGCUAGACAUUUACUGAAAGUAAUUUCAUCACACCCACUUGAACUUUUUGUC